rnacentral:rRNA from 1 species
UACCCUGUUAUUCUAAACUCUUAAAAUAAUUCAAAGAAAACAAACUAAAUAAAUUUGGCAGUAUUAUUUUAUACAAAGGAUUUUGUUUUAAAAUCGAAAACACACGAAACACCUCACUUAAACAAUUUCUGUAUACCUCCGUUUAUGAAAUUAUACAAAAUAUAAAUCUCAAAAAAGAUCUUUAUCUUUUAAAUCAGGUCAAGGUGCAAUUUUAUUAAGAUAAAAUGAAAUACACUAAUCAAUUAUUAAUAAAUUCUUCUGAAAAAAGAAUAAAAUAGAAUUUGUAAGUAAAAAAAAAUCAUCAUGUUUUUUUGAAUAUCAUAACUAAUAUG